rnacentral:pre_miRNA from 1 species
CACUUCCAACUGUUGAAGCUGCCAGCAUGAUCUGAGCUUUCUUUUUAUAAGAAAGGCUAGAUCAUGUGGUAGCUUCAUCUGUUGACUGG